AUGGGAUCCAGGAGUGAUUAAUUCAAUGUCUUCAUUGUAUAGUUAGAUAAAAUAAUGUGUCUGUGAAUGCUUGGGUGGGGAAUGAAGCUCAAGAACAGAUGUUACCACCUUCAAAGGGAUCCUUCCAAAUGCAAAGCUUUACCUGCUGUACAGUUCUCCCUGGAAUGUAAAACUGUGGACAAAUGAAGAUCAGAUCAUUCUGGGAUUGGCUGAAAGACGUUUCUGUUAGUACAAAUAUCUGGGCUAAAUACCAUGGGCUACCCAUGUCCAGCUCCAUGUCCUCGGUGUCUGGGAUAAGGCUCAUCUCUGGUUUACCAAACCUGCUACUGGCAGCAAUGUCUAAGACACACAGGAGGGCAGGUAUUAGAACACCAUUCCCAGGUCAAGAGAAAGGCUCCAUAGCAAAACAGUGCCAGCCAGCUUUCUACCAAUGACCUUGACCUCAGGAGCCUGAAUUAUCAAAAGAACAUGAUGCCAGCCAUGAAACACUGGUAUACUCAACAAUCUAGCAAGGACCACAUCUUUGCCAGUGAGCAUCUAGACAACAAAAAGGAGCAAGGAUGGUCACCAAUCACUCCUGCCUUGAAGUUAUUAUCUUGCCAAAGAUGCAAGCUUGUUUUGAUUUUGCUGUUUAUUUAUGUUUC
rnacentral:lncRNA from 1 species